rnacentral:rRNA from 1 species
UGGGGGAUAUUGCACAAUGGGCGAACGCCUGAUGCAGCGACGCCGCGUGGGGGAUGAAGGCUUUCGGGUUGUAAACCUCUUUCGCUAUCGAACAAGGCCCGCUUAGGGUGGGUUGAGGGUAGGUGGAGAAGAAGCGCCGGCUAACUACGUGCCAGCAGCCGCGGUAAUACGUAGGGCGCGAGCGUUGUCCGGAAUUAUUGGGCGUAAAGGGCUUGUAGGCGGCUUGUUGCGCCUGCUGUGAAAACGCGGGGCUUAACUUCGCGCGUGCAGUGGGUACGGGCAGGCUUGAGUGUGGUAGGGGUGACUGGAAUUCCAGGUGUAGCGGUGGAAUGCGCAGAUAUCUGGAGGAAAACCGAUGGCGAAGGCAGGUCACUGGGCCAUUACUGACGCUGAGGAGCGAAAGCAUGGGUAGCGAACAGG